UAAGUAAUGUGAUUGCAGAAUUCAGUGAAUCAUCGAAUCUUUGAACGCACCUUGCGCCCUUUGGUAUUCCGAAGGGCACACCUGUUUGAGUGUCGUGA
rnacentral:rRNA from 1 species